rnacentral:rRNA from 1 species
GACAGAGGUGCCAAGCGUUAGGCGGAAUCACUGGGCUUAAAGCGUGUGUAGGCGGAUGCCUAAGUACCUUGUGAAAUCCCCCGGCUCAACCGGGGAACGGCUGGGUAUACUGGGUGUCUUGGGUCAUCUAGGGGCUGCCGGAACAAAUGGUGGAGCGGUGAAAUGCGUAGAUAUCAUUUGGAACGCCAACGGCGAAAGCAGGCAGCUGGGGAUGCACCGACGCUGAGACACGAAAGCCAGGGAGCGAACGGG